rnacentral:lncRNA from 1 species
CCUUCUUGUGGUAUCACACAGUGUCACCCUCACGGUGUCACCCUCACGGUGUCAGUGUCACACCUGUCCCUGUGUCACCUCCAUAGUGUCAGUGUCAUGGUGUCAAUGUCACCCGUCCCUGCUGUGUCUCACCUGUCACUGUGUUAUCCCCAUGGUGUCACCAUCACGGUGUCACCCCCUCGGUGGCAGUGUCACACCUGUCCCUGUGUCACCCUCUCAGUGUCACCCUCACCGUGGCAGUGUCACAGGUCCCUGCUGUGUCACGCCUGUCACUGUGACACACAUACAGUGUGUCACCUCGUGUCACCUCUGCUGUGUCACCCUGACUGUGACAGUGUCACACACAGUGUCACACACAGUGUCCCCAUGUGCCCACAGGUUCCAGGAUGAUGGUGGCUAUGUGCUGUACCCACAGUGUCACACACACAGUGUCACACACACAAUGUCACACACAGGAUGUCGCACAUAGAAUAUCACAGUGUCACACUGUCACAUAGGAUGUCACAAACUGUCCCCACAGGUUCCUGGAUGCCAGUGGCUACGUGCUGUACCCGCAGUGUCACACACACAAUGUCACACACAGUGUCACAGUGUCACACACACACAAUGUCACACACAGUGACACACACAAUGUCACACACACACAGUGUCACACACAGUGUCACACCCAUUGUCACACUGUCCCCGCAGGUUCCAGGACGAUGGUGGCUAUGUGCUGUACCUGCAGUGUCACACACACAGUGUCACACACACACAAUGUCACGCACAGUGUCACACACCCAUUGUCACACUGUCCCCACAGGUUCCUGGAUGCCGGUGGCUAUGUGCUGUACCCGCAGUGUCACACACACUGUGUCACACACACACAGUGUCACACACACACAUUGUCACACACACACAAUGUCACACACAGUGUCACAAUGUCACACACAGUGUCACACACACAGUGUCACAGUGUCACACACAGUGUCACACCCAUUGUCACACCCAUUGUCACACUGUCCCCGCAGGUUCCUGGAUGCCGGUGGCUACGUGCUGUACCCACAGUGUCACACACACACAGUGUCACACACACACAGUGUCACACACACACAAUGUCACACUGUCCCCGCAGGUUCCUGGAUGCCGGUGGCUACGUGCUGUACCCGCAGAUCGGUGACCGCCUG